AAAUUGAAGAGUUUGAUCAUGGCUCAGAUUGAACGCUGGCGGCAGGCCUAACACAUGCAAGUCGAGCGGUAGCACAGAGAGCUUGCUCUCGGGUGACGAGCGGCGGACGGGUGAGUAAUGUCUGGGAAACUGCCUGAUGGAGGGGGAUAACUACUGGAAACGGUAGCUAAUACCGCAUAACGUCGCAAGACCAAAGUGGGGGACCUUCGGGCCUCAUGCCAUCAGAUGUGCCCAGAUGGGAUUAGCUAGUAGGUGGGGUAACGGCUCACCUAGGCGACGAUCCCUAGCUGGUCUGAGAGGAUGACCAGCCACACUGGAACUGAGACACGGUCCAGACUCCUACGGGGAGGCAGCAGUGGGGAAUAUUGCACAAUGGGCGCAAGCCUGAUGCAGCCAUGCCGCGUGUGUGAAGAAGGCCUUCGGGUUGUAAAGCACUUUCAGCGGGGAGGAAGGCGUUAAGGUUAAUAACCUUGGCGAUUGACGUUACCCGCAGAAGAAGCACCGGCUAACUCCGUGCCAGCAGCCGCGGUAAUACGGAGGGUGCAAGCGUUAAUCGGAAUUACUGGGCGUAAAGCGCACGCAGGCGGUCUGUCAAGUCGGAUGUGAAAUCCCCGGGCUCAACCUGGGAACUGCAUUCGAAACUGGCAGGCUAGAGUCUUGUAGAGGGGGGUAGAAUUCCAGGUGUAGCGGUGAAAUGCGUAGAGAUCUGGAGGAAUACCGGUGGCGAAGGCGGCCCCCUGGACAAAGACUGACGCUCAGGUGCGAAAGCGUGGGGAGCAAACAGGAUUAGAUACCCUGGUAGUCCACGCCGUAAACGAUGUCGAUUUGGAGGUUGUGCCCUUGAGGCGUGGCUUCCGGAGCUAACGCGUUAAAUCGACCGCCUGGGGAGUACGGCCGCAAGGUUAAAACUCAAAUGAAUUGACGGGGGCCCGCACAAGCGGUGGAGCAUGUGGUUUAAUUCGAUGCAACGCGAAGAACCUUACCUGGUCUUGACAUCCACAGAACUUUCCAGAGAUGGAUUGGUGCCUUCGGGAACUGUGAGACAGGUGCUGCAUGGCUGUCGUCAGCUCGUGUUGUGAAAUGUUGGGUUAAGUCCCGCAACGAGCGCAACCCUUAUCCUUUGUUGCCAGCGGUCCGGCCGGGAACUCAAAGGAGACUGCCAGUGAUAAACUGGAGGAAGGUGGGGAUGACGUCAAGUCAUCAUGGCCCUUACGACCAGGGCUACACACGUGCUACAAUGGCAUAUACAAAGAGAAGCGACCUCGCGAGAGCAAGCGGACCUCAUAAAGUAUGUCGUAGUCCGGAUUGGAGUCUGCAACUCGACUCCAUGAAGUCGGAAUCGCUAGUAAUCGUAGAUCAGAAUGCUACGGUGAAUACGUUCCCGGGCCUUGUACACACCGCCCGUCACACCAUGGGAGUGGGUUGCAAAAGAAGUAGGUAGCUUAACCUUCGGGAGGGCGCUUACCACUUUGUGAUUCAUGACUGGGGUGAAGUCGUAACAAGGUAACCGUAGGGGAACCUGCGGUUGGAUCACCUCCUUACCUUAAAGAA
rnacentral:rRNA from 1 species